rnacentral:tRNA from 1 species
GGGCGGGUGGCGGAAUUGGCAGACGCGCGAGGCUUAGGACCUCGUGCCCGCAAGGGCUUAUGGGUUCAAGUCCCGUCCCGCCCA